GAUAGCUCAGUUGGUUAGAGCAUGGUGCUGAUAAUGCCAAGGUUGCAGGUUCGCUUCCUGUGGGAUAACU